rnacentral:lncRNA from 10 species
CGAGUGGUGGGGAGCUGGUGGUCGUGUCCCUGACCCCCGAAGGCAGGGUCCUGUGAGAAGGAGCCCACGUUGGUCAGGGAGCCCUUCACGGACGCCACCAUGGUGAGUCAUGGGCUUCUGUAAGCAAGGCUGGCCCUGCGUCACUCGAGUGACCCCCAUGUCUCUGAAACUGUCCAAGGGAGGCUGAGAAGGGCUUGAGCUCCUGGGGCCCAGGGAGGUAUGAGCCCUGUGGUUUUCCCUAUGGGUAAAGGCAGGCUCUGUCCACUUUGGAUCCACCACUGAGGAUGGGUGGGGCAUUGGGAAUUCAAAUUAGUCUCCGGAUGCUACUCCUGGGCAGCUUAACUCUGGCCAAGUUCACUUCGGUGAAAACGGAGGGUCUUCUGGGGGCAGCGAGGAUCUCAGGAUGGUGCUGCGGAGUUCAGGGUCCACAGAAGGCAGUCCUUUUAGGGUCUCUGGUGUGGAGGCCAGCAUCCCCUUGACCUGCCCAGAGCUCAGUCCCUCGAGGCCUCAGUCCAGGGCCACCUGUCCACCAUCCUACCUGGGCCCCCUAUCCUCAUGGGGGGCCAGGACAGAAACAUUCGGUGCAGAGGCGAGAGGAGGAAGGAACUCACAAAGAGCAGGAGUGAUGUUGAGGCUGUGGCUCCAGGGGUGACCUGCUCCACCCACCCCCUCCAGGUAUCCCCCCAACACUGCCCAUGUUUCCUUUGACUUGGGUGUGAAGCCCACCAAUUAGUGAAUAAUUAGGCUCUGAAACCACUUCUGUAGAGAAUGCUCCUAGCUCUUAGAGGGGUCACUAUCUAUCAGCCACUCUCACUUUAGUGUGAAUUUGUUUGUGCAGUGUGCUUUCCUGCUAACACCCAAAUGAAGAUGCCCUGCACUGCUGGGACAGGCUCUCUUGGGGUGUGUCUGGGAUCCCAGGACACGGAGGAAGGACCCCUGUUGAGCUGGUUGCUGGGAAGGACGUGGCCAGAUCUGUCCAGGGAGCAAGGAGCCUCUUGGUGGGAUGGGAGUAGGAGCCCUGGCCCCCUUAAGAGACUCUUGGAUGGACUAGAAUGGUUCCAACUGAGGUUCACGGACAGUAGAGGGCCCUGAGAACCCACAGUGCUCAACGGGACCCCACCCACCGGCUUCCCAGCUGAGCACAAGGUUGCAGGGAGUUGGUCCUGCCUAUGUAGCGAUGGGGGCUCCUGAUGGGGAACAGUGGCGAGCCUUGAAUCCACAGCCCUUUGGAGCCAAGCAUGGGGCACCAGGAGGGCCUGAGCAGGUCCCCCCAUGGCAGGGAGCCUGGAUGCACAACCCAGUGUUCAACAGCGACACCCUGUGGUGGCAACAGAAACAACCUCGGUCAAACCAGGGGCUCUGUGGAUUGAUGGUCUAGUGCCCUCUGUCUUUGGCUUGGAAAUCAGAGUGAAUCCUAUGGGCUGUGUAAGUCCUAAUGUUCUUGGACGGUCUACAUCAGUGGGUGAGUCUUCAGGAGGAAGAGUCUAGGCUUCCAGCUAAGAUGGGCAAUGAUGGUACAAUGAAUUGGAAAAUGAAUCGAUUGUUUAGGAAGCGACUGCACCCAUAUCUAGGUGGGUCCUAGUCAUUCUGCUAGUCGUAUCCCCAUGGGCUGCACGUGUGUGGGUGCUGGACCCGGCACUUUGUUUUCCUGGGAUGCAUUUUCCUGCUGAAGCAAACAGCUCUCUCUCUCUUCCCCCAUGACCUGUGGAACUUGGUCAGCCGCAUCCAGUUCUUGUGACUUUCCAAAGUGUUCGACAAGGUCCCUCGGUCACUCUCAGGGUCUCCUGGCUCCAUGGGCUGAAUGGUGAGCCAAUAAGCCAGCCUCCCUGCCUCCUUCCAGCCCUUCUGGGGGCCAGUGUGGGCACCUGCCACACUGCAGCACCCAGAGGCAGAGUAGGGUCAUGGGUGAGGCCAGCACAGGACAGCCUUGCACUUGGAAGGGAAAUCCCUUCAUUCUCAGGAAUGCAGGCCCACACUGUCUCAUUGUUCCUGCCCAGUUUGUCAUCCAAAGAGCUGCCUCACCACUCCGGGAGAGGGCUGGCCUGUGUGAGUCACCAAGAAGUCCCCGGUGGGGAGCCUGAUUCUUUGCACUGGGGGUGACAUCACCCAGCAAGUCCAACUUGACCCAUAAGCCCCGAUGGCCAAUUCCAAAGCAGUGCAUGUGCCCGGGAAGAUGGCCACAUCCGUGAGCUUCUGCUCCGCAUCCUGAUCCUGCUAGGAGCCAGGGCCUGGUUUACCCCAAAUUCUUCCCAGCAGUGGACUUAAUGGGCCACCCCAGGUCCCUAAGAGCCACCCUCCACCCUCCUCCCCAGCCCUGUGCCCUGGGCGCUGACCUACAGGGCUGUGCAUGCCCCCACAUCCUCCUUGCCCUGUGUCCUCUGUUCAGUUUGGCUGAUGGGAGAAUAAUUUUCAGGGGAGAGAGAAGUUGAGGAAUGUGUCCCUGGCUCCCUGUCUGCCAUGGCCUGGUUCCUUUGCUAAAGGAGGUGGCUUCUCCUGGGUGGUCCUUCCUCCAGCCUGGCUCCAGCCUGUUCGGCCCCCUUUGGGAUGAAAGACUCCACAGCUCCCACCUGCUGCUGCCAGUGGGGGGGCUCUGGGCACGCCCCCUUCCUUGGGUUUCCCCUUUCUCUGCUCACACCUUUUAUAAUAGUCCCUUCAUUACACUCUCUCAGAUCCCCCUUUCGGGUGGGUCACCGUCACCCCUCCUUAUUGGCACGCUUCUAGGGAUGGGGCCUCAUUCCUCCAGGAGGCCGGGCAGCACAGGCUGCCAGAGGGCUCUUUCUCUAAUCGUUUAAAAUCUGUCCCUUAUCACGGCCACUCCUGCUCAUGAGGACAGCACAGCCGGCUGCUCCCUCCACCGUGAGUCAGCCUCGCAGAUAUCAGGAGGCCUCCAGCCCAGCGCUCCUGGAAGUUUGAGCCACCCUGUCCUGUCCUGCCCCUCCCCUGCCCGGUCUUUGUUCUCUGGACACACCCUGGUGACUCAGGGUCCCCUUGACGAAGUGAGCCCAGUGUGAAGUUGUGCCCCCUUCGCUGGUGUCAGGCAAUGGAGGGGCUCAGAUCAGCAGGGAAGACCCAGGACCUGGAGGCCGGUGGGGAGCAGGGCUGGGGAAGCUACUCCGCACUCACUCGUGGGCACGUCUAGGAGAGCAGUAGGGUGGGGGCUCGCUGAGGCUGUCUGUGGACUCAGCAUUGCCCACCCAGCACAGGCUCUGGGACGCCACGUGCACGCUCACUGUGAGGGGCAAAGGCUGCCCUGGCAACCAGGAGGAACCGCAGCUCCACCUGGCUGUGAGUCAAAAAUACCAGGGAGUUUUAAAAAAGCACCAGUACCCAGGGCCUUUCAUAGACCCACAGAACCAGACUCUCCAGGGAUUUCAAGAAAGUUCUCGAAGGAUCCUGAAGUACAGGAGGUUGGGGCGUGUGGCCUGGAUAUGGCCAUCGCUGGCUGCAGGGCCGAGCCGGUCAGCUCAGGUGGGUGCCAUGGGAUGGGGCGAGGCCGGCCAUUUUCCCUGUGCCAAGGAACACCCAGGUGAACUGGGAUGGGUGUCACUCAGAGCUGAGGCCCUUGGGAGAUUUCCAUGAGCUGUAAUGCUCAGAGCCUUGGGGUUGCCCCAAUGUUUCAGAGUAUUCAAUGGGCCUGAACGGGACCACUGACCUCUCCGGGUUUUCAUCUCUUUGUUUCACAAUGUAGAACAUUUGGGAAGGAUGGAAUCUGGACGCGUGGGUUUCCCUGCCUCUAGGCUUCUGAAUUCUGUCUUGAGCUCACACGAAAGGUGGCUUUGCCUCUAGAUUGCUUCUAGAGUUGUGGCAACUUUAUGCAAGUCAGAUCAAAGUGCUCCUUCUACAAGACACACCAUUUCCACCCAGCAGAAAAUCAUGCAAAGAUGCAGAGGUGCAGUGCCUGUGCUGAGAACAGUGCUCCUAAGGUGCCGCACUCUCCUGCAAGGCAAAAUGCAUACCGAUGUGGGGGCGCGGCUUCCACUGAAAUCCAG